UCACUAUCUGUUAACACGGGGACCGAUUUUUCGCGCUAUUUUUGCUCCAUGACUCAGUCAAAAAUGAACGGAUUUUGAAUAAACAUGAAACUUCUGAGAUUUUUG